UCACUUUGUAGACCUAACUGGUCUCAAAUCU
rnacentral:piRNA from 1 species